CUACAGGUUUCUACAGUCGCUACAUUUACUUUUAGCGCAUGUUUCUGUAUUUAGUCGAAGGUUGAAGCCUCAGUUUGCAGGUUGUGGUAGUAAAGCAGCAGCUCAGUAUAAAUACAGCUCCAGCUCCAUACUGCAGACUCCUUCACUACAUAAAUAUUUGAAUCUUUCUCCCACAUACACUGUAAAUCUCUGACCUUAACAUCAACUGAAUCCACCGCAUGUUCCACAAGAUGUUUCCAGGUCCUGUGCUUGGCUGCAGAUUGUGAAAGCGCCACGUCAACCUUCCCCUCAUGACUCAGCCUCAUCUCUGGGGCCACACCGGUUAUUUUCCUGCCCUGGAUGACCACAACAGCAAACUUUGACCAGAAUAUCUGAGUGGCAUCAGCAGCUCCACACAACAAACAGCUCAGCCGUGACUUUUCCCAUAAUGAACCUCAGGGAGGAACUUUUCACCUAAAGUUCCCUGCAGAGCUGUCAUGGAGUUUAACUGUAACACAGUGAUCCAGAGCCCACUGAAUCGGAGAUUCUUCAUGUCUUAAUUCCAAUAACUGACGGGCCACCUGCCGCCUGUGAAUCCACCUGUUGCCGUUGCCAUGGUAACCAGGUGUUUCCCUGGAGUAAUUGCUGCAGCAGGUGUUCCACAUCACCCUCAUCAGCCGGUUCAGGAGCAGGUGGAAUGAUUGCCAAUCAGACCUCAUUCUCACUGCGCAUAAUCAGACGCCACUCACCUCUCGAUUGUGAUACAGCCGCCGUCCCGUGGUGUCCUCUCCAUGCUCAACUGCUGCCUUGAACCCUCCAUGGAUCCGUUUGUCUGCGAUUCCCCAGCAUGAGCAUCAGCCACAGUUUUAUUAGUUAAUUCCUGAUUGAUUAUAGUCUUGACUUUGUUUAAUGAAAUCGUGUCUAUAGUUUAAGUUAGCGUAAGUAUUUUGAAGUAAGCCUUCGAGCCUCUAGUUAGUACUAAAGCUUUUGCAUCAUAGUUUCAGUUAAGCCUCACAAUAUCCUUUCUUGCCUGGUUUUACCCACCAUGAAUUAGCGCCUCAGUUUGCAGUUUGUCCUCCUGGCCUAUCCUGAGUUUUCUGUCUUGUAUUAUUCUUUCGUUCUGUGAAUGAAGUCUUUUAACUGCUUUUGCGUGUCUGCUCGUUUCCUGCACCGGAGCUCCUUGAGAAACCGUCACAGUUUAGUUCCUUUUUGGUGAUUGUUCUGUAUCGUACAGUGUCUCUCUCUGGGAUUGUUUUGGGGUUUUUGUGUGUAUUUUGUUUGGUUGGUGGCUUUUUUUUGUGUCUUUGUGGUGAUUAAACAUCUUUUCAUUG